AAAACAAAUGUGAUGACUGAAAAACUCCCCACACUCCCCUCCCACUCUUCAGGGGUUAUUACCUGUAUGGUAUCUGCAAGCUCUGGUCAUACAUAGAUUCAAACUUCUCCUCCCGAGUCAAAGAAACAACAGUUCGGAAGUUUUCUAUUGCUUCAGUGGCAAUCUGUGUGAGAGAGGGCCCAGUCACUACAGGCACAAAGGCCAAUGGUGACAGUGAGUCUGAACUCCAUCAAAGAGAUUAAGACAAUUAAUUUUAUUAUUAAAUGUUUUUUAAUAUCGCAUAUUAAAUAAUACUUAGUAUGACCCAUGAGCUUCGAUGCUAUGGAAAAGGAUACUAAGUAAUCUGUCACAAAUGGAGUUUUAGGUCUGGAAGGAAGAUGGACUAAUUCAAACUCCAAUUUACAGAAGGAGAAGCUGAAGGUUAAACAGAUGAAGGCACUGACUAAAGCCACGUCACUUUACAGGAGCAAAAUUAACCUGAGAACUCAGUAUUUUACCUCUACUGCAGUGCUCUUUCUCUCUACUGCAGUGCUCUGUGUUUUAUUAUGAUCACAUUUUAAGUUUAUAGUUAUUACAUACAUGUAUUUAAGGUAAUGAAAAGUUACAUAUGUUUUACGUAAUGGUGUACAUGUAGUUUUUUCCCUAAAGAUACCUGUUUAACAAAAUUGGGCUCAAGUUCUGAAUUUGGCCAUAUAGCCUUCUCUUUUACCUUAACAAAUAUCAAGCACAUUUCCAAGGUCAAUAAAUAUACAUUAGCAAUGGAAUAUUUAAAAGGCCACUUAAUAUCCCAGCCGGCUAAGCAUUCCUUUAAGGUUUUCAGUUCUUAUUAAAAGUAAUUCUGUGUAAACAUCCUUGUACAUAAAUGUUUGCCCAUAUUGUUUAAAUUCUUCUGUUUUAUUUUAAACAUUUUUUGGCUACAUGGGUGGCCUGUGGAAGGUCCUGGUCUAGGGAAUAAACGUGAGCCACAACAGAGACAACACCAGAUCCUUACCUGCUGGGCCACCCCAUUCAGUUGUGUUGUAUUUUAAUUGAAUGUAAUUCCCAAUAAGGCUAUUUGAUUAAGACAAAUACGCCCUUUACCACCUUGUGAAAUCUGGGUAAAGGGCUGUGGAAAAGACAAAAACACCAGUGCACAAAAGGAGAUUUCAGCUUGCAUCAGCACAGGACCUUGAAACACCUCUCUGCCCAUUUGCCUCAUGUAUAAAAUAAGGAGGGUGGACAAGAGGGUCUCAGAAGUCCCUUUGAACUCUAAAUCUAAGAGAUCAAUUUGUGGAAUUAUAAGUCUAAAUUAUAAAUCAGUGAGAGACAUUUUAUUACAGUGUUCUUUUUUUCUCUGGUUUCUACGCUGGUCGUAUUUGAUACAAAUAAAGACGCGUUCAAUUACAUCUAAUGUAAUCAUUCUAAAUGAUUUACAGUUUACAAAUCUUGAAACCCAAAUCUCACUUAUUCUUUACUGCUACUAGCAAAUAUUUGAUAUGACAUUAAGCCAGUCCAAAGACUCACACAGAAAGCUAUUAGAAAACCAAUCAAUAUUAUAUUCUUAGAAAAAAAAACAUAUUUAAAAAUAAACUCAUGCAAACUAUUGCAUCUGGAAUGGAUAAGCAAUGAGAUCCUGCCAUAUAUCAAUGGAAACUAUAUCUAGUCACUUGUGUUAGAAUAUGAUGGAGGAUAAUAUGAGAAACAGAAUGUAUGUAUAUAUAUGUGUGCCUGGGUCACUUUGCUGUACAGUAGAAAAAUGACAGAGCAUUGUAAACCAACUAUAAUGGAAAAAACACAAAAAUCAUUUAAAAAUUAAAAAAUAAUUUCACUUUAGAGGGCUUAAAAAUGGGUUCAUCUUAAUUUUAAUUGCCUCCAAGGCCCUCUGUGGAGCCAAACAAAAUUUGAGUGAAUCCUUACAUUAAACUGAAUCUUUGAAAUGACUCAUUUCAUUCUCAACUUCCUACUAAAGUAGACACAUCGAAUAUGUCUAAACACAUCCAUGUUUAUAGAAUCACUAUUUGGAUGUAAGUCAUUUCAUAAUUAAGCCAAUCUAACUGCUGAAAUACUUUUUUAUUUGUUAAGGAGGAUUAUAAUUCAGGUCUUGAGGCAGGGAAAUCAGUAAGAUUAUUAUGACUGCAUUGUCUAGUGAAAGUAGGGUCUAGAGCAGGGAUUUACAAACUAUAUGCCAAAGGUAGAAUCCUGUUGGUCUCCUGUUUUUGUAAAUAAAGUUUUAUUUGGACAUACCUAAAAAAAUAAUAAUAAUAAAGUUAGAAGUAUUAUAUUCUGGCCCAGUAGGUCAAGAUGUUUUCCAUAAGCUACUAAUAUAGUUAAUUGUCCAUAUGCAAUUUAUAUCAAAAUAUUUUAUAAAAUUCUUUUUGUUAUAAAAAAUUAUAUAUACUCAUUUUAGAACAUCCUGAAAGUGCAGAAAGUAAAAAGUUAGAGGACAAAAAGUCAUCUCCAGUCAAACCCUCAAAGACAAUCUUUGUUCAGACCCAUGGCAGAAAUGUUUUCAAUUAUAAGGCAUCAAACACAGAGAAGUUUCUUAUAUGAGUUGGAAAAUCCCACAAACUAUAACACUGUCUGGUGGAAAACAGACUUUAGUCUAAAUUUCAAUGUAAAUUUUCUAAGCCAGGUGUGGUUUUUUGUGACUGGUUGUGUCAUCACUUUUUAGAAAGUGUGAACAGCACAAUAAAAGCAAGAGAUUAUGAGUUACAGACCUUGAAUGGCAAGUAAAACAAUAUAAUCACUGGACAAUCACCUUCAAUUAGGAAAGGGCUAAUUGCUUCCUAAGCAGUUAGGAAAGGGCUUAAUCCAGUACUCUGCAUCCUCACAGCUUCAUUUACUCCAGAGUUUUCCAUAAAGACUCAGUACCUACUAUGGGGAGAGAGAACUUUCUUUUUUUAAUUACUGUUCUAAACAGGCUUCAUAUAUUUAGUAAUUUUGUCUUCACACUUAACCUAUGAAAGAAGUGCAGUUAUUAACACCAUUUUGUGUGUGCGUUUUUUAACAUUUUGAUUAUAGCUGACUUUUUCUUUUUUGUCUUUUUAGGGCCUCACCCAUGGCAUAUGGAAGUUCCCAGGCUAGGGGUUGAAAUCAGAGCUGCAGUUGCCAGUCUAUACCACAGCCACAGCAAUGCCAGAUCUGAGCCUCAUCUGGGACCUAUACCACAGCUCAGGGCAACACUGGAUCCUUAACCCACUGAGCCAGGCCAGGGAUGGAACUCAAGUCCUCAUGGAUGCUAGCUGGGUUGGUUACUGCUGAGUGAUGAUGGGAACUCCUAUAGCUGACUUUCUAAUUCGAGAAGAGGAAGUAGCACUGAGUUUCCCUCAGAAACCAUCAUGAACUAAAUCAUUUUGAAGAAAGUAAAAAAUGUUU
rnacentral:lncRNA from 1 species